rnacentral:other from 1 species
AUAUUACUUUAUAUAGGUGUUUAUUUUGUUCCUACAUUUUUAUAAAUAGGGAGAGUAAGCUCUAUAAUUAUUGAAGUAUACCUGCCGAUACAAAAUCGCCAGCAGGAAAUGGAUUAAUUAAGGCACUCACCCACCUGCGAGUCAUUGCAGGUAACAAAAUCGCACUUAUAUAAAGUAAUAAG